rnacentral:rRNA from 1 species
GACGAACGCUGGCGGCGUGCUUAACACAUGCAAGUCGAACGGUUAAGCGCCUUCCUUUUUGGUGGGUGUGGAUGAGUGGCGAACGGGUGCGUAACACGUGACUAACCUGCCCCCUUCUUCUGGAUAACAGCAUGAAAGUUUGGCUAAUACGGGAUAUUCUGGGUCUGUCGCAUGAUGGGUCUGGGAGCGAUCUUGUUUCGGUGGGGGAUGGGCUCGCGGCCUAUCAGCUUGUUGGUGGGGUGAUGGCCUACCAAGGCGGUGCCGGGUAGCCGGCCUGGGAGGGUCGACGGUCACAGUGGGGCGGAGACACGGAGAAGACUACGACGGGCGGCAGCAGGGGAGAAUAUAGCACAGUGGGCGGAAGGCUGAUGCAGCGACGCGGCGUGGGGGAAGGAGGCCGUCGGGUUGUGAACCUCUUGCGGGAGUGAAGCAGGGUUGGCUCGUAUGUGGGUGGGUUGACGGUAACUGGAGAAGAAGCGCCGGCUAACUACGUG